rnacentral:tRNA from 1 species
GUCUCUGUGGCGCAAUGGGUUAGCGCCCUCGGCUGUUAACCGAAAGAACGGUGGUUCGAGCCCACCCAGGGACG